UUAAAGGAAUUGACGGUCCCGCACAAGCAGCGGAGCGUGUGGUUUAAUUCGUUGCUACACGAAGAACCUUACCUGGGUUUGACAUAGCAGUGGUAGGAAGCGAAAGCGGACGACCCUUCGGGGAGCUGUUACAGGUGUUGCAUGGCUGUCGUCAGCUCGUGUCGUGAGAUGUUCGGUUAAGUCCGCUAACGAGCGCAACCCGCGUUGUGUGUUACAAGUGUCACACAAUACCGCCGGUAUUAAGUCGGAGGAAGGUGCGGAUGACGUCAAGUCAGCAUGACCUUUAUAUCCAGGGCUACACACACGCUACAAUGGUCAGCACAAUAGGUUGCCAAGUCGUGAGACGGAGCCAAUCCUCCAAAGCUGGCCUCAGUUCAGAUUGUAGGCUGCAACCCGCCUGCACGAAGUUGGAGUUGCUAGUAACCGCAGGUCAGCUAUACUGCGGUGAAUACGUUCCCGGGGAUU
rnacentral:rRNA from 1 species